UGGGCAACCUGCCCCUCUCUCUGGGAUAACCCCGGGGAAACCGGAGCUAAUACCGGAUACUCCGGCUGGAUCGCAUGGUCCGGCCGGGAAAGGUCCGCCGGAGAGGGAUGGGCCCGCGGCCUAUCAGCUUGUUGGUGGGGUCAUGGCUCACCAAGGCGACGACGGGUAGCUGGUCUGAGAGGACGACCAGCCACACUGGGACUGAGACGCGGCCCAGACUCCUACGGGAGGCA
rnacentral:rRNA from 1 species